UACGUAGGGUGCGAGCGUUGUCCGGAAUUACUGGGCGUAAAGAGCUCGUAGGUGGUUUGUCGCGUUGUUCGUGAAAUCUCACGGCUUAACUGUGAGCGUGCGGGCGAUACGGGCAGACUAGAGUACUGCAGGGGAGACUGGAAUUCCUGGUGUAGCGGUGGAAUGCGCAGAUAUCAGGAGGAACACCGGUGGCGAAGGCGGGGUCUCUGGGCAGUAACUGACGCUGAGGAGCGAAAGCAUGGGGAGCGAACAGG
rnacentral:rRNA from 1 species